UUAACUAUUAUAUAGUACUCAGACGACACUAACAUUCAGAGUUUGCUGGGCCUCUGGCGGGCGCGCGCCAGCCGGAGCCGGCGGCCGAGCGGGGCCCGGCGGCCCGCCAAAGCAACACAGUAACGAUAACAGUGGGUGGGAGAUCUACCCGCGAGGGCGAGAACUCUGUAAUGAUCCCUCCGCAGGUUCACCUACGGAAA
rnacentral:misc_RNA from 1 species